GAAUCUUUAGCUCAGAUGGUAGAGCUCCUGACUCUUAAUCAGGUGGUCGUGGGUUCGAGCCCCACAGGAUUCA
rnacentral:tRNA from 1 species